AGGGUCACCUGAUCUGUCAAAGUGGAGACGUUCUAAGAGCAAGAUGUAUAGAAUAUUUUUCAACACUUUUUAAACUUUGCAGAAAGAAUAAUCUUUUUAAGAAUAGUUUGUCAGCGGGGGGCUAAAGAACUCUUCAUUGCUUUUUUAUUUUGUUUUUUGUGGGUUUGUUUGUUCUUUUGUAUUUCUUCUUUUCUGUAGAAUUUAAAUAUUUCUAUUCUAAAGUUCCAAAAUAAUAGUGGAAUUUGAGAUUAGAGCAAGAAAGAUAGCUCUAUCUAAUUGUUUUUGUAGCAGCUGAAACUAAAAUAAUUUGAGUGCUGAAACCUUAGUUAUGCUUUGAUAGAGAUCAUUUGAAAAUAUUCCACACUUAAGCAUUCAUUGUUUGAAUUACUAGACAAUUUGUACUCAGGUACUUACACCUCUUUUUCCCUCCUCACUUUAGAUGAAAUCGUGGACACUUUGGGUGAAGGAGCCUUUGGCAAAGUUGUAGAGUGCAUUGAUCAUGGCAUGGAUGGCAUGCAUGUAGCAGUGAAAAUCGUAAAAAAUGUAGGCCGUUACCGUGAAGCAGCUCGUUCAGAAAUCCAAGUAUUAGAGCACUUAAAUAGUACUGAUCCCAAUAGUGUCUUCCGAUGUGUCCAGAUGCUAGAAUGGUUUGAUCAUCAUGGUCAUGUCUGUAUUGUGUUUGAACUGCUGGGACUUAGUACUUAUGAUUUCAUUAAAGAAAACAGCUUUCUGCCAUUUCAAAUUGACCACAUCAGGCAGAUGGCGUAUCAGAUCUGCCAGUCAAUAAAUUUUUUACAUCAUAAUAAAUUAACCCAUACAGAUCUGAAGCCUGAAAAUAUUUUAUUUGUGAAGUCUGACUAUGUAGUCAAAUAUAAUUCUAAAAUGAAACGUGAUGAACGCACACUGAAAAACACAGAUAUCAAAGUUGUUGACUUUGGAAGUGCAACGUAUGAUGAUGAACAUCACAGUACUUUGGUGUCUACCCGGCACUACAGAGCUCCCGAGGUCAUUUUGGACUCAUGAUAGUAAAGAGCACCUGGCAAUGAUGGAACGAAUAUUAGGACCUAUACCACAACACAUGAUUCAGAAAACAAGGUAUGUUUUAAGAUUAAAGCCUUUUGUUGGAUACGUGCAAUAGCAUAUAUUCAAACUACAGAAAACCCAACGUUGUUGUAAUGCUGAUUCCAAGGAUUAUAGAUUUUGACUUUUUUUUUUUUUUUUUUUUCCUGUACUGGAGGUAACUUCUAACUGCAUCUUACUCUUUUUUUUUUUUUUUUUUGAGAUGGAGUCUCACUCUGUCACCCAGGCUGGAGUGCAGUGGUGCCAUCUCAGCUCACUGCAACCUCCACCUCCUGGGUUCAAGUGAUUCUCCUGCCUCAGCCUCCCGAGUCGCUGGGAUUACAGGUGCCCACCACUAUGCCUGGCUAAUUUUUGUAUUUUUAUUAGAGAUGGGGUUUCACCAUGUUAGUCAGGCUGGUCUUGAACUCCUGACCUUAGGUGAUCCGCCUGCCUUGGCCUCCCAAAGUGCUGGAAUUACAGGUGUGAGUCACUGCACUAGGCCAUGUUUUUAAAAACUAAUAUAAUAAAAAAUAUUUACCUCGUGAUCUAGUGCAGGGGUCCCCAACCCCUAGGAACUGGGCUGUACAACAGGAGGUGAGUGGCGGGUGAGUGAGCAUUAUUGCUGCCUGAGCUGCACCUCCUGUCAGAUCAGCAUCAGAUUCUCAUAGGAAUGUGAACCCUAUUGUGAAUUGCACAUGCGAGGGAUCUACGUUGCAUGAAGGUUCCUUAUGAGAAUCUAAUGCCUGAUGAUCUGAGGUGGAAGUUUCAUCCCAAACCAUCAUCCCUCCUCUCCGGAUCAGCUUCCAUGAAACCAGUCCCUGGUUCCAAAAAGGUUGAGGACCACUGAUCUAGUAAACAAAAUGGCUUUUGGUUUUUUUUUUUUUUUUUUUUUUAACUCAAGUUUACGUUUGCAUAAAUGUUUUCUUAAGGUGACGUAAAAAUAAUACAUAGAAUAUGGAAAAGCUUGUGUUUUGGAAUCAUAUCACUCUAAGUGUGAAAUUUAUUCUGUCCUUAACCAGCUGUAUAUUCUUAGACAAGGUGGUAUUUCCAAACACAGCUUCAUCGCAGAAGCCACCGAGGGAGUUCUUUAUAAAGAUUUCCAGCCCCAUUCUAGAUCUAGUGAAAACAGAAUUUUAGGACUGGAUCCAGGGGGCCCCUAGUUUUAAGCUGACAUUGUUCCAUGUGUGAUAGUUAGGAACAACUUAGUUGAGAGACUAAAACCUCACAGGGUGGAGGAUAUAAGAUGUCUGAUAUAUAAUUGUUACUGAGGUUUUUAAAAAUUGUAUGCAUAUAUAUUAUAUAAGUCUGUACACCUAGAGAGAGCUGCUUUCCAUGUCUCCCCUCAUGGGUGCAGGGUAAAGAUACAACUCUUGUUAUUUUACUAAUCCAGACUUUUUUUUUUUCUGUAGAAAACGCAAGUAUUUUCACCAUAACCAGCUAGAUUGGGAUGAACACAGUUCUGCUGGUAGAUAUGUUAGGAGACGCUGCAAACCAUUAAAGGUAAAAGAAAAAAAGAUUAAAGGUUAAAUAAACCACAUGUUUGCACUAUUACUAAAUUUUUUUUUAAACAAAAACAUUUCUCCCCCAGGAAUUUAUGCUUUGUCAUGAUGAAGAACAUGAGAAACUGUUUGACCUGGUUCGAAGAAUGUUAGAAUAUGAUCCAACUCAAAGAAUUACCUUGGAUGAAGCAUUGCAGCAUCCUUUCUUUGACUUAUUAAAAAAGAAAUGAAAUGGGAAUCAGUGGUCUUACUAUAUACUUCUCUAGAAGAGAUUACUUAAGACUGUGUCAGUCAACUAAACAUUCUAAUAUUUUUGUAAACAUUAAAUUAUUUUGUACAGUUAAGUGUAAAUACUGUAUGUUUUGUAUCAAUAGCAUAAUUAACUUGUUAAGCAAGUAUGGUCUUGAUAAUGCAGUAGAAAAAUUAAAAUUAAUUUUUCUUUUUGAAAUUACCAUUUUUAAAUACCUUUGAAAUAUCCUUUGUGUCCAGUGACAAAUGUGAUUGAUCUUGCCUUUUGUACAUGGAGGUCACCUCUGAAGUGAUUUUUUUUGAGUAAAAGGAAAUCUUGACUACUUUA
rnacentral:sRNA from 1 species